rnacentral:rRNA from 1 species
UACAGAGGUCUCAAGCGUUGUUCGGAUUCAUUGGGCGUAAAGGGUGCGUAGGCGGCGCGGUAAGUCGGGUGUGAAAUCUCGGAGCUUAACUCCGAAACUGCAUUCGAUACUGCGGUGCUUGAGGACUGGAGAGGAGACUGGAAUUCAUGGUGUAGCAGUGAAAUGCGUAGAGAUCAUGAGGAAGACCAGUGGCGAAGGCGGGUCUCUGGGCCGAUACUGACGCUGAGGAGCGAAAGCGUGGGGAGCGAACAGGA